GGGGGCGUAGUUCAACGGCAGAAUAGGGGUCUCCAAAACCCUUGAUGGGAGUUCGAUUCUCUCCGCCCCUG
rnacentral:tRNA from 1 species